AACCACAGCCAUAUCAUCCUGCAGCCCAAGAGCUGUUACUCACUGAAGCUAAGCAGGGCUGAGCCAGGUUAGCACCUGGUUGGGAGACCAUAUUGGAAAACUUGGUUGCUGUUAAAA
rnacentral:rRNA from 1 species